rnacentral:rRNA from 1 species
GCGUGCCUAAUACAUGCAAGUCGAGCGGACAGAAGGGAGCUUGCUCCCGGAUGUUAGCGGCGGACGGGUGAGUAACACGUGGGUAACCUGCCUGUAAGACUGGGAUAACUCCGGGAAACCGGAGCUAAUACCGGAUAGUUCCUUGAACCGCAUGGUUCAAGGAUGAAAGACGGUUUCGGCUGUCACUUACAGAUGGACCCGCGGCGCAUUAGCUAGUUGGUGAGGUAACGGCUCACCAAGGCGACGAUGCGUAGCCGACCUGAGAGGGUGAUCGGCCACACUGGGACUGAGACACGGCCCAGACUCCUACGGGAGGCAGCAGUAGGGAAUCUUCCGCAAUGGACGAAAGUCUGACGGAGCAACGCCGCGUGAGUGAUGAAGGUUUUCGGAUCGUAAAGCUCUGUUGUUAGGGAAGAACAAGUGCAAGAGUAACUGCUUGCACCUUGACGGUACCUAACCAGAAAGCCACGGCUAACUACGUGCCAGCAGCCGCGGUAAUACGUAGGUGGCAAGCGUUGUCCGGAAUUAUUGGGCGUAAAGGGCUCGCAGGCGGUUUCUUAAGUCUGAUGUGAAAGCCCCCGGCUCAACCGGGGAGGGUCAUUGGAAACUGGGAAACUUGAGUGCAGAAGAGGAGAGUGGAAUUCCACGUGUAGCGGUGAAAUGCGUAGAGAUGUGGAGGAACACCAGUGGCGAAGGCGACUCUCUGGUCUGUAACUGACGCUGAGGAGCGAAAGCGUGGGGAGCGAACAGGAUUAGAUACCCUGGUAGUCCACGCCGUAAACGAUGAGUGCUAAGUGUUAGGGGGUUUCCGCCCCUUAGUGCUGCAGCUAACGCAUUAAGCACUCCGCCUGGGGAGUACGGUCGCA